rnacentral:rRNA from 1 species
AACCCUGAUGCAGCUAUACCGUGUGUGUGAAGAAGGCCUUAGGGUUGUAAAGCACUUUCAAUGGGGAAGAAUUUAAUAUUGCUAAUAUCGAUAUUAAUUGACGUUACCUAUAUAAGAAGCACCGGCUAACUCCGUGCCAGCAGCCGCGGUAAUACGGAGGGUGCAAGCGUUAAUCGGAAUUACUGGGCGUAAAGAGUACGUAGGUGGUUUGUUAAGUCAGAUGUGAAAUCCCUGAGCUUAACUUAGGAACUGCAUUUGAAACUAAUAAACUAGAGUUUCGUAGAGGGGGGUAGAAUUCCAGGUGUAGCGGUGAAAUGCGUAGAGAUCUGGAGGAAUACCAGUGGCGAAGGCGACCCCCUGGACGGAAACUGACACUCAGGUACGAAAGCAUGGGGAGCAAACAGGAUUAGAUACCCUGGUAGUCCAUGCCGUAAACGAUGUCGAUUUGAA